UGUUUAUGUAAUGUCCAUUUGAAUUGUAUUUAACAGGGUGAUCAGAACACGUGGUUUUCUAAUAAAGAAGCCAAGCUGCUGAAAUUGCAGAAAGUCACCUCUGAAUUUGGAACUUUGUUUCUUCCAUGACUUGGCAUCUGAGUAACCGACUGCAAUACUUCGAAGGUUAAGCAAUAUCAGUAUAUCAAAGAUACAAAACGAAUUGCUUCUAAAACGUCAUGGUUCUCUUGCGAAUCUGGUCUGGGAAUGUCCUUCUGUGAUUUUGAUCAUUGAAUUAUUUGUAUUAUCCUCCCAACACUGUGGCACUCAAAGUGAUAACUCGAUCAGCUAUGAGUAGAUGUAUAGCAGCCUGCUUCAGUACUCAUGUUGUAAAGUUUUUAGUCACACAAAGGUGCUGAACUUGGGAACUUUGAGAUCUUUUCUCACAUGUUGUUUGUUAUAGGAGAGAUCUUCUAUCAUCGUUGUGUCUGAGAUCUCUUUCUUUGAGAAAUGCAGCACUUUUGAAAAUUGUUUUUGUUAUUUCCUGCAAAGGAAGAGGCAGUGACAGAUAAUUAAUAUGAAUGCUGUAAAAUAUGAUGCAGUAAACAUGUAAAAUGUUUGUCAUUAAUG